CAUUGUUCAAAACAGAACAGGAAUUCCAAAACAAAACAAAAAGCCCGGGAGCACAGGAGUGCAGGUUGGGGAGAGAGGAUUCACCUUACCAGCAGGGCCUCUGAAUUCAGAAAAGGAGCACCUGCUCCAAGCACUGGAAGACAUCACAAACAGAAUGGCAUGCAGAGGAGCAAGAGCAGAAGCAGGGAAAAUAGCUGGAAGGCUUUUGCAGUUGUCCGGGCAAGAAGGGAUGGUGGCUUGGGCCAGAGUGGAGGUGGCGGAAAUGGAGAGAAGAACUCCACAGGAUCUCCCUGCUCCAUUCAAGCCCAUUUUCUCACUGAACGCUGUCACCAGAGCGUGCUCACGAAUUUGAAGUACAUGGAAGCUUGUCCACACUGAGGGCUCUGCAGGACUCGCCUCUUCCAGGAAGCCUUCUUGAGACACGGCCAGUUAUCUGAGAUCACUCAGGAGCUGUGUAUAUCUUCUGCAUUGCCCCUUCUCACACCUAGUGCUUCUCUAUGGCUUAGCUGUUUUCCGGUCUACUCCUGGAAAUGCCUUCAUUUCUCGUCUUGCUUUCUUCCUUUAGAAAGCAAAUGCUUUGUUGGCAUUUGCUGAAUGGUAUCAACAGGGCUCCUUUGGAAAUCACAUUUGUAAAUUAUUACUGAUGACAACUGCUUUUUUUUCCCCCCAAAUUAAACACUAGUUGCUUAAA